rnacentral:lncRNA from 1 species
GGGAGAAAAUAGGUAGGGAUGGAGGACACUUGGAUCCACUGAACUGAGAUGUGUCAAAAGAGACUUCCAAGAGACACGAGAGAAAUCUGACUUGUGAAGUCAGAAGGCACCCUGCAACCUUUCAUCCUAUCUGGAGAGACUUCAGUUGUAGAUAAUGCUACUGUGCAUUUCAAAUCCAAGGACUCUGCCUCUCAACUGAUGACUACUUGCCUAAACAAGAAGGGGCUUCCCUCCCUCUCUCUCUCCUUCCUUCCUUCCUUCCUUCCUUCCUUCCUUCCUUCCUUCCUUUUCCCAGCAAAAUUUAAUUUUAUUUUUUUAAUUUUUGCUCUUACUUAAUACCACAGCAGCUGACUUGCAGUUGGUCAUUCUAGAAUGAAGACGACUGUUUGCCAAGUGUAUUGGUGACGUAAGUGGAGAAGAAACACUGACUUGAGUGCACAGCAAUAACAGAAAAUAGGUUUAGAAAGUACCCUGUUGUAUCAUUUCUAUACACUUGACACAGGGCAAUGUUCUUAGACUCUAAUGAAGGAGAAGCUGUCUGUCCCCCAGCUAUCUAUUCCAGUACUUCCCCUUUUCUAGGAUUAGGAAGCUUUUGUGAUGAUCUAAGUAGAAUCUUUCUUGCUGCAGUUUAGGCCUGGGGUGUCACACCCUCCAUCAGGAAAAAAAGGGGAACAGGCUCUUCUUUUCCUUUACAAAACAAAGAUUUGUGUGUCUGGAGUUUAUUAGUAGGUCUCUCUCAGUCUUCUCCUCUUCAGGCUAAACAAGUGCAGCUUGUGCAGUCUUUGCUCAUAGGCACUUUUUUACAGCCCUCUGUUUGUUCUUACUGCUUCCCUCUGGCUUGUCUCCGACAGUCUGCGCUUUGCCAGGAGUGUCAAGAGCUCACCAAAGUCACCAUGUGGUGGCAGGACAGCCCGGCAGUGCGAUAACACACAGGGAUCUCAGAACAUGCAGCAGCUCAUUUGGAAAAAACAAUCCUCACAAGCUUCACGGAAAGGAGAGUAUUUCAUCCAUGCUACCAAGAGGAUAUUGAGAUACAGAAAAACUGGUGUCAACUGCAGAAGUACAUUUCUCUUAAGUCCUGAAAUAGAAGUGCAAUAG